rnacentral:rRNA from 1 species
GUUGUAUGGUUAAGUGACUAAGCGUACACGGUGGAUGCCUUGGCAGUCAGAGGCGAUGAAAGACGUAGUAACUUGCGAUAAGCCCAGAUUAGGUAGUAACAACCAUUUGAGUCUGGGAUUUCUGAAUGGGGAAACCCACGUGCAUAAGCACGUAUCCUUACCUGAAUACAUAGGGUAAGGAGGCGAACCGGGGGAACUGAAACAUCUAAGUACCCCGAGGAAAAGAAAUCAACCGAGAUUCCGAAAGUAGCGGCGAGCGAAAUUGGACUAGCCCUUAAGCUUUACACGCGUUAGACGAACGGUCUGGAAAGUCCGACGAUACAGGGUGAUAGUCCCGUAGUUGACGACGUGUGUUCAGUGAAAUCGAGUAGGGCGGGACACGUGAUAUCCUGUCUGAAUAUGGGGGGACCAUCCUCCAAGGCUAAAUACUACUGACUGACCGAUAGUGAACCAGUACCGUGAGGGAAAGGCGAAAAGAACCCCUGUGAGGGGAGUGAAAUAGAACCUGAAACCGUGUACGUACAAGCAGUAGGAGCAGGCUUUGUCCUGUGACUGCGUACCUUUUGUAUAAUGGGUCAGCGACUUAUAUUCAGUGGCAAGGUUAACCAUCUAGGGGAGCCGUAGGGAAACCGAGUCUUAACUGGGCGUUCAGUCUCUGGAUAUAGACCCGAAACCAGGUGAUCUAGCCAUGGGCAGGUUGAAGGUUGAGUAACAUCAACUGGAGGACCGAACCGACUAAUGUUGAAAAAUUAGCGGAUGACUUGUGGCUAGGGGUGAAAGGCCAAUCAAACCUGGAGAUAGCUGGUUCUCCCCGAAAGCUAUUUAGGUAGCGCCUCGGACGAAUACUACUGGGGGUAGAGCACUGUUAAGGCUAGGGGGUCAUCCCGACUUACCAACCCUUUGCAAACUCCGAAUACCAGUAAGUACUAUCCGGGAGACACACGGCGGGUGCUAACGUCCGUCGUGGAGAGGGAAACAACCCAGACCGCCAGCUAAGGUCCCAAAUUACUACUAAGUGGGAAACGAUGUGGGAAGGCUCAGACAGCCAGGAUGUUGGCUUAGAAGCAGCCAUCAUU